GACCGCGUAGCUCAGUUGGCAGAGCAUCGGGCUAAUAUUCCAAAGGUCGUAGGUUCGAUUCCCACCGUUGCCA
rnacentral:tRNA from 1 species